UCCAGACUCCUACGGGAGGCAGCAGUGGGGGAUAUUGCACAAUGGGGGGAACCCUGAUGCAGCGACGCCGCGUGGGUGAAGGAGCGUUUCGGCGCGUAAAGCCCUCUCGGCAGGGAAGAAGGAGGACGGGACCUGACUAAGAAGCCCCGGCUAACUACGUGCCAGCAGCCGCGGGAAUACGUAGGGGGCAAGCGUUAGCCGGAUUUGCUGGGUGUAAAGGGGGCGCAGACGGCAGCGCAAGCCGGGGGUGGAAGCCCGGGGACCCACCCCGGGACUGCUCUUGGAACUGCGCGGCUGGAGUGCAGGAGGGGCAGGCGGAAUUCCUGGUGUAGCGGUGAAAUGCGUAGAUAUCAGGAGGAACACCGGUGGCGAAGGCGGCCUGCUGUGCUGCAACUGACGUUGAGGCCCGACAGCGUGAGGAGCAAACAGGAUUAGAUCCCCCAGUA
rnacentral:rRNA from 1 species